CGGCUUUGGCGCCCGCGAAUGGGCCCGGCUGUCCCUCCUGAGAGCCUUCGUGGAAGGAGCCCUGCUGGACGCGGGGAGCUUUGCUGCUGCGCGGCUGCACCCCACCCGCUGUCUGCUUUUCUCCUGCUGGGGGUCUCCCAGGAAGUCCCCCCUGCGGGCGCAGAGCGGGGAGCUGCGAAGGAGCCCCUCCGGGUAGUGCCGCCCGCUGCUCCUGCUGCUCUUUAAGUCUCGCGUGUUCUUCUUUCCCCUGACAGGCCGCUUUUGUAUGGGAUUCUAGCCCAGCUGUUACGCGGCAAUGAAGAGAAGGUCCCCCGCGCCUUCCCCAUAGCCCAGUCUUUGUCACGUUCAAAGUGGACUGUCAGCAAGCCAUCUAACGAAAGGAGCCAAAUGGAAACUGUUCCAGAGUCUGGACAUGUGGCUGGCGUAAGGCUUGAAGAUACAUGGGGUUCACAGGGCAUCCAUAAAUGAAAUAAAGAGGAUUUUUUUUUACGAAUA